rnacentral:rRNA from 1 species
GAUGAACGCUGGCGGCGUGCUUAACACAUGCAAGUCGAGCGAGUGAGUUCUUCGGAACGAUCUAGCGGCGGACGGGUGAGUAACACGUGGGCAACCUGCCUCAUAGAGGGGAAUAGCCUCCCGAAAGGGAGAUUAAUACCGCAUAAAAUUAUCGAGUGGCAUCACACGAUAAUCAAAGGAGUAAUCCGCUAUGAGAUGGGCCCGCGGCGCAUUAGCCAGUUGGUGAGGUAACGGCUCACCAAGGCGACGAUGCGUAGCCGACCAGAGAGGGUGAUCGGCCAGACUGGGACGGAGACACGGCCCCGACUCCUACGGGAGGCAGCAGUGGGGAAUAUUGCACAAUGGGGGAAACCCUGAUGCAGCAACGCCGCGUGAGUGAUGAAGGUCUUCGGAUUGUAAAGCUCUGUCUUUGGGGACGAUAAUGACGGUACCCAAGGAGGAAGCCACGGCUAACUACGUGCCAGCAGCCGCCGUAA